CCUCGGGUUGAUAACUAGGCGGAAGUCUCGAUUCAUAAACCACACCACGGUUUCUGCCCUUUAAGUACCCGAUAUAUUGAUACCAAUUUGGCGACCAUCUUACAUGUUCCCUCUCACAAUUUCACUUGCUGAUUUUGUAUUUUCAUCGUGGUUGGAAACUUUUAAUUGGUCGCUACAUUC
rnacentral:snoRNA from 1 species